GGAACGAACGCUGGCGGCAUGCCUAACACAUGCAAGUCGAACGAGACCUUCGGGUCUAGUGGCGCACGGGUGCGUAACGCGUGGGAAUCUGCCCUUAGGUACGGAAUAGCCCGGGGAAACCUGGAAUAAUACCGUAUAAUGACUUCGGUCCAAAGAUUUAUCGCCUAAGGAUGAGCCCGCGUAGGAUUAGCUUGUUGGUGAGGUAAAAGCUCACCAAGGCGACGAUCCUUAGCUGGUCUGAGAGGAUGAUCAGCCACACUGGGACUGAGACACGGCCCAGACUCCUACGGGAGGCAGCAGUGGGGAAUAUUGGACAAUGGGCGAAAGCCUGAUCCAGCAAUGCCGCGUGAGUGAUGAAGGCCUUAGGGUUGUAAAGCUCUUUUUGCCAGGGAUGAUAAUGACAGUACCUGGAGAAUAAGCUCCGGCUAACUCCGUGCCAGCAGCCGC
rnacentral:rRNA from 1 species